AGGGUGACCCGGCUGUGACAUCUGUCACCCCACUGAUUUCCAGGGUUGAUCUGAUUGGCCUGACUAGCCAGAUGAGUGUUCCCUUCUUCCCU
ensembl:misc_RNA 7SK 7SK RNA